rnacentral:tRNA from 1 species
GAGGGCGUAGCUCAAUUGGUAGAGCGUGUGCUUAGCAUGCACCAGGUCCUAGGUUCAAUCCCCAGUACUUCCA